UCGGGUGUGGUGCACGGUGCACGGCAGUCUUCUUUGAGACGGUACAUUUUAAGUACUAACUGCAGACCGGGGUUCGACUCCCCGCACCCGAC